rnacentral:rRNA from 1 species
CCUACGGGAGGCAGCAGUGAGGAAUAUUGGGCAAUGGGCGAGAGCGUGACCCAGCAAAGUCGCGUGAAGGAUGAAGGAUCUAUGGUUUGUAAACUUCUUUUAUAGGGGAAAAAAGGGAGGAACGUGUUCCUUUUUGUAUGUACCAUAUGAAUAAGCAUCGGCUCACUCCGUUCCAGGAGCGGCGGUAAUACGGAGGCUGCGGGGGUAAUCCGGGUUGAUUGGGUUGAAAGGGUGCGUAGGUGGUGAUGUAAGUCAGCUGUGAAAGUUUGGGGCUCAACCCUAAAAUUGCCGUUGAAACUGGUAUACUUGAGUAUAUUUGAGGUAGGCGGAAUUCGUGGUGUAGCGGUGAAAUGCAUAGAUAUCACGCAGAACUCCGAUUGCGAAGGCAGCUUACUAACCUAUAACUGACGCUGAGGUACGAAAGCGUGGGGAUCAAACAGGAUUAGAUACCCGGGUAGUC